AGUGAACGCUGGCGGUAGGCCUAACACAUGCAAGUCGAACGGCAGCACAGGAGAGCUUGCUCUCUGGGUGGCGAGUGGCGGACGGGUGAGGAAUACAUCGGAAUCUACUCUGUCGUGGGGGAUAACGUAGGGAAACUUACGCUAAUACCGCAUACGACCUACGGGUGAAAGCAGGGGAUCUUCGGACCUUGCGCGAUUGAAUGAGCCGAUGUCGGAUUAGCUAGUUGGCGGGGUAAAGGCCCACCAAGGCGACGAUCCGUAGCUGGUCUGAGAGGAUGAUCAGCCACACUGGAACUGAGACACGGUCCAGACUCCUACGGGAGGCAGCAGUGGGGAAUAUUGGACAAUGGGCGCAAGCCUGAUCCAGCCAUACCGCGUGGGUGAAGAAGGCCUUCGGGUUGUAAAGCCCUUUUGUUGGGAAAGAAGUCCAGCUGGCUAAUACCCGGUUGGGAUGACGGUACCCAAAGAAUAAGCACCGGCUAACUUCGUGCCAGCAGCCGCGAUAA
rnacentral:rRNA from 1 species